AACGAACGCUGGCGGCAUGCCUAACACAUGCAAGUCGAACGAGACCUUCGGGUCUAGUGGCGCACGGGUGCGUAACGCGUGGGAACCUGCCCUUAGGUUCGGAAUAACUCCCCGAAAGGGGUGCUAAUACCGGAUAAUGUCUUCGGACCAAAGAUUUAUCGCCUUUGGAUGGGCCCGCGUUGGAUUAGCUAGUUGGUAGGGUAAAAGCCUACCAAGGCGACGAUCCAUAGCUGGUCUGAGAGGAUGAUCAGCCACACUGGGACUGAGACACGGCCCAGACUCCUACGGGAGGCAGCAGUGGGGAAUAUUGGACAAUGGGCGAAAGCCUGAUCCAGCAAUGCCGCGUGAGUGAUGAAGGCCUUAGGGUUGUAAAGCUCUUUUACCCGGGAUGAUAAUGACAGUACCGGGAGAAUAAACGCCGGCUAACUCCGUG
rnacentral:rRNA from 1 species